rnacentral:lncRNA from 1 species
CUCAGGAGGCUGUUUUCAGCGUUCCUUAUUACACACUCCACCCCUUGUCCUGUUUUCAGGGUCAAGGAGUUACAUUCUUAUGCAAAAAUAACAUACACACAGUGCCUCAGUAUUUUUCCAUGCCCCGACCUCAAAUGCCAUGUACGUAAGCUUGAAUACGUUGAUGUGCACCCCGCCACAUCUCCCCCUUCUUCAAUUCUUAGAGCGUGCUGGUCAUCCAAUGCAAGCCCAACUGGGAUGUAUCUUUCAGACGCUGCAGGGCUUGGCGGAAGAUCUGAGCCAUUUGCCUGGACGUUCUCCAUGCUAUUGUGAUCGGCCUCAUCUGUCUGAAACCUUGCUGACCCCGGCUUAUCUGGUGUUGGACCAAAUGACCCUGGAGUCUCUGCAUCUUCUUCAGGGUGACCUGUGCAUGUCUGCUAUCCCUGCCCCUGCCAGCCGUAGGCUGACCUCCACCUGACCCUCAACUGCAUGGGCCCUGAUGAGUCACAGGCUCCCUUCACAGAAGGAAGGUGGAAAAAGCUCACGUGAACGUUGCUUUCCUGUCCUUGGACUUCUGACAUCCCUCGGGCCAGCCCUCAGCAGUGAGCCAACCCGCAAGUCCUGCUCAGGAUCCAGUGGGAAGGCAGCUGUCCUCUUGGAUGAUCCUGGCACCAUAUUGGAAGGAGUCCAUCUGUGGAGGCCAUCAGAGAUUUGAUCACCUCAGCUGUUGUUCAGCUCCUCCGGGGACUGGGGGAAUUUUCGUGCCAUUGGUGUUGACAAUGACAUAAUCCUAGCUCUAAGUCGUCUAAGUGUGUUUCUCCACAGAUACACAUCAAGUACUAGGUGGUGCCAUUCUGUCCCACACAACUGUACAAUAAGUCUUCUCAAAGGCUGAGAAGACUCACCAUACAGAGCUUCAUUCCUUGAAACCCUAAGCUGGAACCCUGAAACCUUAUUUUUUCUUUCAGCUACCAUAAGGCUGAAAUUAACCAUAGCCUUCCCAAGGAUUGGUUUCUUCUCAAAGAGUUUUAACUUAUAAAUAGGACCAAAGAUUUUAAAAAUACAAAUGUUUGUCAUUAAAUGAAGUCAUGCAAGUGAAAGUGCCUAGAAUAGUACUUGGCUCAUAGCUGGUACAUGGGAAAGUCUUGUUUUCCACCUCCAUGUACUCCAGACGCAGCUUAGAAAAUCAGGUAACUUGGCCGGGCUCGGUGGCUCAUGCCUAUAAUCCCAGCACUUUGGGAGGCUGAGGCAGGCGGAUCACGA